GUAGUCUCGCACAGAUGCAUAUCAAUAAGCGGAGGAAAAGAAACUAACAAGGAUUCCCUUAGUAACGGCGAGUGAAGCGGGAAGAGCUCAAAUUUGAAAUCUUCAAGGUUUUACCUUGACGAAUUGUAGUUUAAAGAAGUGUUUUUCUGUUGAAGUUUUUGGUAAAAGUUCUUUGGAAUAGGACAUCAUAGAGGGUGAGAAUCCCGUAUUUGACCAUUAUUUUUCAGCUGUGUGAUACACUUUCAAAGAGUCGGAUUGUUUGGGAAUGCAGUCCAAAAUGGGUGGUAAAUUUCAUCUAAAGCUAAAUAUUGGCGAGAGACCGAUAGCGAACAAGUACCGUGAGGGAAAGAUGAAAAGAACUUUGAAAAGAGAGUUAAACAGUACGUGAAAUUGUCAAAAGGGAAGCGUUUUGACACCAGUGUUGUUUUUCUCGAAAAUCAAUUAAAAAGAGUUUGAUUUUGUUGUGUAUUGACCUUAACAGCUUGCAUUUCAAUUUUCUUGCUUUUUUUUAUGCACUUUUCGUUUAACAAGUCAACAUCAGUUUUCUUUUGUUGUAAAAAGGUCAUUGGAAGGUGGCUUUCUUUUCGGAGAAAGUGUUUAUAGCCUUUGACUCCUGCAAUCGGAGAGACUGAGGUCUGCAGCGUAGAUCCUUCGGGGUUAGAUACAUUUGUGCUAAGUUAUAGCUUUUUUAUAGACAACUUGUUGACUAUGAUUAGUCUUGUAGCUUACUCGCUUAUGCUAUUUUACCUACGCUUAGGAUGUUGAGCGCAUGUCUCUCUCU
rnacentral:rRNA from 1 species